rnacentral:rRNA from 1 species
CCAACGGGUGGCUGCAGUGGGGAAUAUUGGACAAUGGGCGAAAGCCUGAUCCAGCCAUGCCGCGUGUGUGAAGAAGGCCUUCGGGUUGUAAAGCACUUUCAGUGGGGAAGAAAGCCUUGGGGCUAAUACCCUCGAGGAAGGACAUCACCCACAGAAGAAGCACCGGCUAACUCCGUGCCAGCAGCCGCGGUAAUACGGAGGGUGCGAGCGUUAAUCGGAAUUACUGGGCGUAAAGCGCGCGUAGGCGGUCUGAUAAGCCGGUUGUGAAAGCCCCGGGCUCAACCUGGGAACGGCAUCCGGAACUGUCAGGCUAGAGUGCAGGAGAGGAAGGUAGAAUUCCCGGUGUAGCGGUGAAAUGCGUAGAGAUCGGGAGGAAUACCAGUGGCGAAGGCGGCCUUCUGGACUGACACUGACGCUGAGGUGCGAAAGCGUGGGUAGCAAACAGGAUUAGAUACCCCAGUAGUC